GUGCUCCCUUCGGCAGCACAUACACUAAAAUUGGAACGAUACAGAGAAGAUCAGCAUGGCUCCUGCGCAAGGAUGACACGCAAAUUCAUGAAACACUCCAUAUUAAA
rnacentral:snRNA from 1 species